AUAUCCCUCAGAAUGGGAGAUGCCAAAAUCAUGAAGGUGAUUUUCCCAGGGUUAGGCUCACCAACUGUAAUGUAAAUGUGGUGACCCCUGUGAUUCGCUCAAAUGUGGGAAAUCUAAUUGCAGAAUUUGAGAAAGUGAAAGGCCAUAUUUACCUCUUCCC